CUUCAGCGAACCGAGCCACAGCGGACGGCCCUCCGGCCGCCCCUGACCGUAAGCAGCGAGCAGAGCCUGCGCCUC
rnacentral:antisense_RNA from 1 species